UACGUAGGGGGCUAGCGUUGUCCGGAUUUAUUGGGCGUAAAGAGCGUGUAGGCGGCCAGGUAGGUCUGCUGUGAAAACUCGAGGCUCAACCUCGAGCUGUCGGCGGAAACCAUCUGGCUAGAGUCCGGAAGAGGAGAGUGGAAUUCCUGGUGUAGCGGUGAAAUGCGUAGAUAUCGAGAGGAACACCUGCGGCGAAGGCGGGUUGCUGGGCUGAUACUGACGCUGAUGCGCGAAAGCCAGGGGAGCGAACGGG
rnacentral:rRNA from 1 species